UUUCCUCUUUUUCUUCUUUUAUUUAAUAUGAUACCAUACUUAAAAAAUACCAUACGAAUGACAAUAAUCGAUAGAAACAAAAAAAAAUGAUAAAGCUGAAAUUAUAAAAAAUCUAACUAGAUGUAUAUUUAUAUAUAUAUACAUAAACAGCAUAACUACUUAAUAAUUAAAAAUUUAUUUUUCAAGUAUCGUUUAUCGAUAGUUUAUCGAUAUUUACACAGGAUAUUUUUUUCUCGUCCCGCGUUGAAACGUUUUCUUUUCGCGCGUAUUUUCGCCUAUUAAAAGAGCGAAUCGUCGAUACGAUUCACUCGAGCUUUUCCUCUUCUUCGAAACUUCUUUAUACGUUUUCUUGGUCUGAAAGUUCUUCGCUGUGCCGAUCUUGGCUCUUUCCGGUCUACGUAUAUAACGGAACGUUAGGACUCGACCGUUUCUUUGCGACGUUCUUUCUUCGUCAUUUGCCUUUUCCAGUAUUCCGACGACAGUGACUCGAGUGUUUUCUUAAUCUUUCACGCGAAAUGGAAUAUAUUAGCCGUUUCCCUCGAAAAACUCGUCGUUUGCUUUCUACCUAUCCCUGUACCUUCGGUCAACACUUUUCGUCUACUUGUACAGUAAUUACUUCGAUCCGUAUACGAUUAAGACGCGUUUUUUUCUUCCAAUUGAUAAAUCUUUAAUUGUGCCAUCGUUAUCUACAAAGAUAAAAGGGAGAAGAAAAGGAAGAAGAAGAAGAAGAGGAAGAAGAAGAAGAAGAGAAAGAAGAAGAGGAAGAUGAAGAAGAAGAGGAAGAAGAAGAAGAAGAAAGAAGUCUCGUCUCGAUGAAAUAUUAAAAAUUGAAAUUUGUUGAAGCAAAAAUGUAGGCGAGUGAGAUGGAAGGGGGAGGGGGAAGAAAAAAGAGAUUGCGCUAAAAAGAAAAAGUGAACACCGUGAAGUUUAUUAGGAAAGAAAUGAAAUUUUCCGACUGUGAGUUUAAUACCUCCCAACGCUUACACCGCAUAAUUCUGCCUAAAGAACUUAAAGUUCACAUGCAGCUACAGCCAGCCCACGUUCCUUCUCUCCCGAGGAGAUUCUUUUAGAAUUGGAUUCAAGAUUUCUACUCUGUUGUUUCUUCUCCUUUUUCCUGUCUUUCUUAAAAGAAUGAAUUCUCCUCUUCCCCAACUCGUUGGGAUCGUAUCGUUGGAUCACGCCCACUUAAUCGAAUCGGUUCUAUCGAAUACGCAAUUUAUUACCAAUGAAUUGCAUGCAUAGCGGGUGUGACGCGGUAUGCGAUUCUCAACUGGAGAACGGCAAAGCUGACCUGUCGCACAACAGCUGGAAACAUCGACCACGUCUUGUCGCGUACCUGUUGCAAACUUUGCAACCGACAUGGUGCAACUUUAUCAGAUGCUAGAGAAGACCGACAACUUUCGCAGCAGAAACAUGCUCGACUCGUGCUUCCCGCUAUCGAGUUUGAAAAAGAUCUCUAAUAUUCGAACGCGAAUAUCGUAUAACGCGAAGCUGAAAAUUUUGUA